rnacentral:snRNA from 1 species
GAAGAAGAAAGUAGCGGCA